GCCACUGUGGCGGAAUUGGUAGACGCGUGGGUCUCAAAAACCCAUGAGCUUUAUACCUCGUGUCGGUUCGACUCCGACCAGUGGCA
rnacentral:tRNA from 1 species